rnacentral:rRNA from 1 species
AUUGAACGCUGGCGGCAUGCCUUACACAUGCAAGUCGAACGGCAGCACGGGAGCAAUCCUGGUGGCGAGUGGCGAACGGGUGAGUAAUAUAUCGGAACGUGCCCAGUCGUGGGGGAUAACGUAGCGAAAGCUACGCUAAUACCGCAUACGAUCUAUGGAUGAAAGCGGGGGAUCGCAAGACCUCGCGCGAUUGGCGCGGCCGAUAUCAGGUUAGGUGGUUGGUGAGGUAAAGGCUCACCAAGCCGACGAUCUGUAGCUGGUCUGAGAGGACGACCAGCCACACUGGGACUGAGACACGGCCCAGACUCCUACGGGAGGCAGCAGUGGGGAAUUUUGGACAAUGGGCGCAAGCCUGAUCCAGCAAUGCCGCGUGCAGGAUGAAGGCCUUCGGGUUGUAAACUGCUUUUGUACGGAACGAAACGGCGAGCUCUAAUACAGCUUGCUAAUGACGGUACCGUAAGAAUAAGCACCGGCUAACUACGUGCCAGCCGCCGCCGUAA